CCCUACGGGGUGCACCAGGCGCGAAAACUUUACAAUGCGGGAAACCGCGAUAAGGGCACUCCGAGUGGCACACAAUGCCGGCUCUCCCGGUGCGUAAAUACUAGUGAUACCAAGGACCGGGCUACUGGA
rnacentral:rRNA from 1 species